rnacentral:rRNA from 1 species
GACGAACGCUGGCGGCGUGCUUAACACAUGCAAGUCGAACGGAAAGGCCCUGCUUUUGUGGGGUGCUCGAGUGGCGAACGGGUGAGUAACACGUGAGUAACCUGCCCUUGACUUUGGGAUAACUUCAGGAAACUGGGGCUAAUACCGGAUAGGAGCUCCUGCUGCAUGGUGGGGGUUGGAAAGUUUCGGCGGUUGGGGAUGGACUCGCGGCUUAUCAGCUCGUUGGUGGGGUAGUGGCUUACCAAGGCUUUGACGGGUAGCCGGCCUGAGAGGGUGACCGGCCACAUUGGGACUGAGAUACGGCCCAGACGCCUACGGGAGGCAGCAGUGGGGAAUAUUGCACAAUGGGCGGAAGCCUGAUGCAGCAACGCCGCGUGCGGGAUGACGGCCGUCGGGUUGUAAACCGCUUUCGCCUGUGACGAAGAGUGAGUGACGGUAAUGGGUAAAGAAGCACCGGCUAACUACGU